AUUUCUAUAGUUAUAAAACAUCCGGCUUUCAAUCGGACAAUGAAAGUUAAAAUCUUUCUAGAAAAU
rnacentral:tRNA from 1 species